rnacentral:rRNA from 1 species
GAUGAACGCUGGCGGCGUGCCUAAUACAUGCAAGUCGAGCGAACGGACGAGAAGCUUGCUUCUCUGAUGUUAGCGGCGGACGGGUGAGUAACACGUGGAUAACCUACCUAUAAGACUGGGAUAACUUCGGGAAACCGUAGCUAAUACCGGAUAAUAUUUUGAACCGCAUGGUUCAAAAGUGAAAGACGGUCUUGCUGUCACUUAUAGAUGGAUCCGCGCUGCAUUAGCUAGUUGGUAAGGUAACGGCUUACCAAGGCAACGAUGCAUAGCCGACCUGAGAGGGGGAUCGGCCACACUGGAACGGAGACACGGUCCAGACUCCUACGGGAGGCAGCAGUAGGGAAUCUUCCGCAAUGGGCGAAAGCCUGACGGAGCAACGCCGCGUGAGUGAUGAAGGUCUUCGGAUCGUAAAACUCUGUUAUUAGGGAAGAACAUAUGUGUAAGUAACUGUGCACAUCUUGACGGUACCUAAUCAGAAAGCCACGGCUAACUACGUG